UUCAAUGGUGGCUCAGGUGGGGCUGACUUCGGUCAGGCCGGUUUUCCAGGAUCCCGGUAGUGCAAUCCCUGUCUGAGCUACCACCCAA
rnacentral:antisense_RNA from 1 species